rnacentral:rRNA from 1 species
UGAGUAACCUGCCCUUAAACUCUGGGAUAAGCCUGGGAAAACUGGGUCUAAUACCGGAUAUGACUCCUCAUCGCAUGGUGGGGGGUGGAAAGCUUUAUUGUGGUUUUGGAUGGACUCGCGGCCUAUCAGCUUGUUGGUGAGGUAAUGGCUCACCAAGGCGACGACGGGUAGGCGGCCUGAGAGGGUGGCCGGCCACACUGGGACUGAGACACGGCCCAGACCUCCGUACGGGAGGCAG